GAUGAACGCUGGCGGCGUGCCUAAUACAUGCAAGUCGAGCGAACAGACGAGGAGCUUGCUCCUCUGACGUUAGCGGCGGACGGGUGAGUAACACGUGGAUAACCUACCUAUAAGACUGGGAUAACUUCGGGAAACCGGAGCUAAUACCGGAUAAUAUAUUGAACCGCAUGGUUCAAUAGUGAAAGACGGUUUUGCUGUCACUUAUAGAUGGAUCCGCGCCGCAUUAGCUAGUUGGUAAGGUAACGGCUUACCAAGGCAACGAUGCGUAGCCGACCUGAGAGGGUGAUCGGCCACACUGGAACUGAGACACGGUCCAGACUCCUACGGGAGGCAGCAGUAGGGAAUCUGCCGCAAUGGGCGAAAGCCUGACGGAGCAACGCCGCGUGAGUGAUGAAGGUCUUCGGAUCGUAAAACUCUGUUAUUAGGGAAGAACAAAUGUGUAAGUAACUAUGCACGUCUUGACAGUACCUAAUCAGAAAGCCACGGCUAACUACGUG
rnacentral:rRNA from 1 species